GUAGGGAAUAUUGGACAAUGGGGGAAACCCUGAUCCAGCAAUGCCGCGUGUGUGAAGAAGGCCUGCGGGUUGUAAAGCACUUUUAGUUGGGAAGAAAAGCUAACAGCUAAUAUCUGUUAGUCUUGACAUUACCGACAGAAAAAGCACCGGCUAACUCUGUGCCAGCAGCCGCGGUAAUACAGAGGGUGCGAGCGUUAAUCGGAAUUACUGGGCGUAAAGCGUGUGUAGGCGGUUUUGUAAGUCGGAUGUGAAAUCCCUGGGCUUAACCUGGGAACUGCAUUCGAUACUGCGAAGCUAGAGUAUGGUAGAGGGAAGUGGAAUUCCGGGUGUAGCGGUGAAAUGCGUAGAUAUCCGGAGGAACAUCAGUGGCGAAGGCGGCUUCCUGGGCCAAUACUGACGCUGAGGCACGAAAGCGUGGGGAGCAAACAGGAUUAGAAACCCGUGUAGUCC
rnacentral:rRNA from 1 species